rnacentral:tRNA from 1 species
GGACCAAUAGCUCAGUCGGCUAGAGCAUCUCGUUUACACCGAGAGGGUCGGGGGUUCGAGUCCCUCUUGGUCCACCG